AUUGAACGCUGGCGGCAUGCUUUACACAUGCAAGUCGAACGGCAGCACGGGCUUCGGCCUGGUGGCGAGUGGCGAACGGGUGAGUAAUGCAUCGGAACGUGCCCAUGUUGUGGGGGAUAACUACGCGAAAGCGUGGCUAAUACCGCAUACGCCCUGAGGGGGAAAGGCGGGGGAGUUCUUCGGAACCUCGCGCAAUUGGAGCGGCCGAUGUCAGAUUAGCUUGUUGGUGAGGUAAAGGCUCACCAAGGCGACGAUCUGUAGCGGGUCUGAGAGGAUGAUCCGCCACACUGGGACUGAGACACGGCCCAGACUCCUACGGGAGGCAGCAGUGGGGAAUUUUGGACAAUGGGGGCGAACCCUGAUCCAGCCAUGCCGCGUGAGUGAAGAAGGCCUUCGGGUUGGUUAAAGG
rnacentral:rRNA from 1 species